UACAGAGGUCUCAAGCGUUGUUCGGAUUCAUUGGGCGUAAAGGGCUCGUAGGCGGCCAACUAAGUCGGACGUGAAAUCCCCAGGCUCAACCUGGGAACUGCGUCUGAUACUGGAUGGCUUGAAUCCGGGAGAGGGAUGCAGAAUUCCAGGUGUAGCGGUGAAAUGCGUAGAUAUCUGGAGGAAUACCGGUGGCGAAGGCGGCAUCCUGGACCGGCAUUGACGCUGAGGAGCGAAAGCCAGGGGAGCAAACGGG
rnacentral:rRNA from 1 species